UACGUAGGGUGCAAGCGUUGUCCGGAAUUAUUGGGCGUAAAGAGCUCGUAGGCGGUUAGUCGCGUCUGCUGUGAAAACUCGGGGCUUAACCCUGGGCCUGCAGUGGGUACGGGCUGACUAGAGUGCGGUAGGGGAGACUGGAAUUCCUGGUGUAGCGGUGAAAUGCGCAGAUAUCAGGAGGAACACCGGUAGUCGGAAGGCGGGUCUCUGGGCCGUAACUUGAACGUCUGGAGGAGCGAAAAGCGUGGGGGAGCGAACAGG
rnacentral:rRNA from 1 species